rnacentral:rRNA from 1 species
UACGGAGGGGGCAAGCGUUGUUCGGAUUUACUGGGCGUAAAGGGCGCGUAGGCGGUUUGGUAAGUUACUUGUGAAAUCUCCGAGCUUAACUCGGAACUGCCAAGUAAUACUGCCGAACUAGAGUGCAGAAGGGGCAACUGGAAUUCUUGGUGUAGCGGUGAAAUGCGUAGAUAUCAAGAGGAACACCUGAGGCGAAGGCGGGUUGCUGGGCUGACACUGACGCUGAGGCGCGAAAGCUAGGGGAGCAAACAGG